rnacentral:rRNA from 1 species
UGUCAGCAGCCGCGGUAAGACGAACCGUACAAACGUUACUCGGAAUUACUGGGCUUAAAGGGUGCGUAGGCUGCGCGGAAAGUUGGGUGUGAAAGCCCUCAGCUCAACUGGGGAAUUGCACUCAAAACUACCGUGCUCGAGGGAGACAGAGGUAAGCGGAACUCAAGGUGGAGCGGUGAAAUGCGUUGAUAUCUUGAGGAACACCGGUGGCGAAGGCGGCUUACUGGGUCUUUUCUGACGCUGAGGCACGAAAGCCAAGGUAGCAAACGGGAUUAGAUACCCCGGUAGUCUUGGCUGUAAACGAUGAGCACUUGAUUGAAGGGUCCUCCAUAGCCUUUCAGUCGUAGCGAAAGUGUUAAGUGCUCCGCCUGGGGAGUAUGGUCGCAAGGCUGAAACUUAAAUGAAUUGACGG